rnacentral:lncRNA from 1 species
UUAUAAUUAUAUACAUAUAUAUAUAUAUAUAGUCAGCUGUUAUUAUUUUUACCAUAAUUCCAUUCUUAUCUGUUUGCUCCAGGAUCAUGGAUUUAGCCAUCAUUUUCUCUCUUGUGCAUCUUCUAUCUCUUCUUCUCUACUAGGCUCUCUCAUCCCUAUCUAUAUAUAUGUGGAAGCUCCCAGUUCCCAAAACAUUUUAUCUAGAGCCUUCCAACCCAGCUCUGACCCAUCUCCCAUUUCCCCUUCACCACCCACACAAUUUGAAAAACUCAUCCAAAACACAAGACCUCCACUUUGUCUGAUCAUUCAUUUGGAUCAUUCAAAAUCAUUCUCUCUUCCAUCCCUUGAGAUUGGCUUCUUUUCCCCUCCACCCCUGUAAUUAAUCCGCUUUCUCAAAUAUUUGAAGGCAGCUAUCACUCAUUACAGAAUUAUAAUGCCACAGAAUGUUAGAAAUGGAAGAGGACCUUAGAAAUCAUCUAACCCAAACUGAUUUGACAGAAGAAAAUGAGGCUUAAAGAGACUCGCCCACCUAGUAAAUGGCUGUGGAGCCAGAAACAGAUCCUGUGCCCUUUCACUGAAUUGCCAUUUUUAUCCUAGAAUGCAUAAAAUCUUCAUAAUGGUAAGGUUGGCCAUGCCUGGGGUUCCUAUGGAAACAACUGUGAUGACAUCUUUCUAGCUUUUGUGUAUGUCCAACAAAAGAGGCUGUAUCAGUGCUUCAUGUUUAAACGUAAAGAGAUUUAGAAGCUGGCCUCCUUACAGGACGACUAAAAAGGAAAAAAAGAGCUAUGACAGGCCUCAAGAACAUUUCAAUCUGAAAACACUAAGUACCACUUUUUUUUGGUGAGAAAGUACUGUUGUGAGACGGAAGAGAGCCAGACAUUUUAUCUAUCUGCAACAAAGGAGGUUCUCUCAGAGGCAAACUUAAGGUUUAUUCCUGAUGUUACCUGGAAAGCUUAAAGAGCGGAAGAAGAAACAGUUUGGGACUUCCAGUGCUGUUUCAAAGGGCUUCCACAACCUCUGGGAUGUCUCCACCAGGAAUUCAAAGACCACAAGUUUAGCAUCAAGUCCACGUCUGCUCUCCAAAUGCAGUCCUGGUUCCAGCAAGAACAAGAGAAUCCUGGGCAGUAUGAAUUAAAGAAGACUAAAGGGAGAUCAACCAGAACAAUUCAAACAAGGAUAAUGACAGAUACAACCACCACCACCUUGAAACAGAAAAAUCAAGAAGUCUGACCAAAGUACUAAACAACCAUGUCACCAAGGGACCUAUGAUAAAGCAUAUUAUUACCUAUAUCACCAAACAGAGAAGUGGUAAUGGAUACAAAGUAUAUUUUUGGACAUGGAUGCUAUGGAUUGGUUUUACUUGACAACAUUCAUUUCUUAUAUUUGUUAAAUGGAAGGGAUAGGGGUAUCAGUAAUGACAACAAAGAGGAAAACAGAAUGAAUUAGGAACUGGAAUCCAAUAAUAUGUUGUUCACAAGAAGCACAUUUGAAAUAGAAAGGCACAGAGUUAAAAAAAUAAAAAAAGGAACCAGAAUCCA